AGCACAGCACCGACUUCUAGUUUAAAUCUGUGAUGGUCAGAGUUAUUUCUGCUGCAAAUUGAAUGGCCAAGGUCUGCUCAUUGAGGGUGGAAUGAAUAAUGCCCUGAACAGGCCUGAAGAUAUUUUGCAAUGAGCUUCAUCUUUCAUCCCUGUGCAGUCAGAUGUGCUCCUGCAAACUGGGACUGGUUUGGGACAUGUCCUUCCCAAAAGAAGAUGUGAGAUUACAGUGUGUCCUGGAUAGAUGCCUGGGGAAAAGCUGCAAAACUAAGGAAAAGGGUAUCAUGUGGAAGGACAGGAAAUUCUAACCCAGACCAGUGUUUCACAAGAGAAAACAGAUUCAGUAAAAUAAGGAACUAUUCUGGAAAUACAGCAAUUCUUUCAGGAGAGUUUCAUCAAUGGAUGAAAAAAAGAGGAGUAAGAAAAGGUUUCCAUUUUCAGAGAAAACUAUUGUUUCUCAAUAUUGCAGUGCUGGCUGUAUAGAGAAGAGACCAGGCCACAGGUAAACCUGUUCUAACUCUGGGAAGAAGACUUAAGAGUUCCAUGAAGAUGGCAAGAAGUUUCUCACUUAUAUAACAUAAAAAGCACCUCCAGCUGAUAAACUGAUACUGAAGAAGAAACACAGCAGGGAAACAGUAAAAGGAAGAAUUUUUUUCAGGGAUUCAUGAGAAAUAAAACCAUCAAGGGAGAAGGAGUACAUGGACCCAUAGGAGAUGACCAGUACACACCUAAAUUAUAAAAGAGCACUACCAAAUAACAAAAGGAUCCCAGUAAAUAUCAGUACAUAUCUGACAUUAUUCUACUUGCUUCACAGGAGGAAAAAAAGGAAGGAGGGGAAUAUAAAAUCCUACUUAUUCCCAAUUAGAAAUCAAGAUUUAGAAGGCCAAAUCUUUUUCUCAGCAAAUGCGUAUAAAUCUGGGGUUAAUCUGACUGCCAGACAGACAUUUUAACAGCACACUUCCCCAAACAGCAAUCAUGGCACAGUAACUGGCACCUUCUCUCAGAGACACUGCAGAUUACCUCAGAAAUCACCAGCAGAAAGCAAUGAAGCAUGAAAUAUAUGACCCUCCAGGUGAACAUUGCCCUAACUCAGAGCCUCGUUUGUAAGCUAAAAAUGUACCAUACAGGCUUUUUUAUGGAGACUAACAUUUAAAAUGCUAAUGCAAAUGGCAUGGAGGGAAACAUGCACUUUGAACACACAAGGGCAUCCUCAAAAUUCAGGGACAUUACUGCCAGUCCUUUUGGGAGGUGUGUGAUGAACCUGAUGUAUGUGUUAAAACCAGGAUCUGCCGCACUAAGUCAUGUUGAGCUUUGUUCACCUUCAACCAAACCCUCUGAUUUCUUACCUACUCUACUUCAGAUAUUUGCAGAUCAGGUUUUAAGCUCUUCCUUCUCUAUAGAAUGCCCGUUACCAUUCUGUUCCCUUUUGCCUGGGCUUCAGGCGAGCAACACGUAUGAUCAGCUUGGUAUCUCUCCCAUUUAUGUAAUUAAUCUAUAUCAUCAUCGUUCUAGAUAUGUCUUAGCCUCAGCCACCCUUACAGGCACUGUUUGCAUCCCAGGGCAUAAUUUGUGACAAUGUACAGAUGCUUGUUUUAUCAGUUUGGCUUCAAAUAGUCAAUUUGAACAUGUUCUGUGUAUGGUGUGUGUAAAAAAGUAAUGUAAUGAAACCUGGUUAAAAAAAAAGGUCUGUUAGCUGUGAAUACAGCAAAGAGUUGAGAAUACAAGCUUGCUCCACAGUGGGACAGAGCUUCUGGGACAUGAGAGGCAUUACUUCAUUUCUAUUUUAAGUCCCGUGUGAGUGCCAGUUACGAUAACAAAGGCUGAUGGUCAGGUGUGAACCACCACCACAUUCAGCAGGGGUUGAUUCAGGAGGCUGCACUGUGUGACAUGAGAGUCAAACACACUCUGCUUGCAAAACAACUGCACUUUGGGGAAGAAUUGGGCUUUAAGAAUUACCCAUUCAAUGGAUCCCUUUGCAAGCAUCCAUUUCUAAAGAACCUAGAAGCAAUUGUGCCGAUAGGGAUCAUUUCUUCUGUGUUCAACACUACUGAAAUCCUUGCUGCCAUGGGAAUUCUGGUUCUCCAUGGCUGAUCACAAGGGCAGUGGUAGUGUGGGUAUCUCUACUCAUGACAAGAGACUGUUAAUCCUGAAGGGUUCAGUGGUUUCACUACCCUGAGAGCCAGAAGGAAAUGCAUUCAAGAAUUCAGUACCACAAACUGGCAGAUAAAUCAGCUAGAGCUCCUGAUUCCCACUUGGAAAAAAUAGAACUGUUUGAAAGCCCUAGUUAAGAUUCUUCUCCUAACUAAGUUCAUCAUCAAGAGAAAUAUGAUCACAACCAUCAGAAAUACAGACCACAAUCUCUAUAUUCCCUGGUUGCAAGUGACUGACCUGAGCACUCACCAUUCCACACAGAGCAGAGAGAGGUCUCAGCCGAUGGCCUGAGCUGCUGCACUGCUGCUCCUCAGCUCUUCUAAGGAGAGCCACAUUCAGUUUUCACCUACAGACAUUAAGCCCAGUUUUUUAAUGGACUUUGAGGCAUUGCUACUAUAAAAGUAGGCCAAGUGUAUCAGGGGAUCUAAAUGCAGGUCUGUUCCCUCUCAGGAGCCAGGCCUGAAAAUUUUCCCCAUUGCUUUUCCUCACAUCUCUCAUAGUACAUCAUAUAAACACACCCUAAAGUGGUAGAACUGCUUUAGAAUUAAAGACAAAAAUCUCUGCUCUCUUGUUCAUGCAUUGUCCAAUAACCACAAACGGUUCUUAUUCUAUUCAUUUCAUGAAUGGGACCAUGCCCAGUUCAGAAAAAUGCUGUAAAUAAUUAAAACUCACAACCCAGCACCCCACAUAGCCUCUUUCCUUUUUUCCCCUCCCUCCUGACUGUCAGCUGCUGGUACAGAUGUCACUCCCUGAUAGGUGUUUUCAUGAGCCCCUCAAUGAGUAUCUGCCCACAGAUGAGACACUGUAGAGGUGACUGUACAAAUCCAGGCUUUGGAAGCACAAGAGGCUACAGGAGAUUCCGCGACUCCCUACACAUCAGUUUAGCCAAGGAUUGUUCCUAGCAACUUUAUCUGUAUUCUUUCUAAUAAAAUAAAAGAAUAAGCUGAACAACUCCAUUUUAAACAGUAUGUGAUAACAUAUUAAAGAGGGAUACAGAACUCAACCUUACAGCAAGGAGAGAUCCCUGGUAUGUAAGGAACUGAUGGGAACAGGCUGUCUCUGGCAUGGGACAGCCUAUCCUUCCCUCUGGUCCCCAUACUUCCCCACUGAAACCCACCAGAGAACCCAUUCCUCCUGCAAGGCUGCUCCAUGAAAUUGUGUGCCCAGCCAGAGCUACGUCACAGGACUGACAUAAACCACCUCAGCAAUAAAGACUUUGCUUCGAGGCUUUAGGGAAAGUGGCAUCACUGGAAUGAACUAAGAGGUGACAAGUUAAUACCAAAUCUACAUCAUUCUAUGGAGCAAUAACUCACCCUCUGGCCUUGCUCCAUUUUAACCUGUCAUCACUCCUUAAACUUCUCCACCACUGUAAGAGAGUGAGAAUAAAAAGCUCUGUACCAUUACAGCAACAGCUUUAACAAAAAGCAAUGGGGUUUCAAGAUUACCUCUCCCAGCAUCUGAAAAUGCAGAGAUAAUUGAGCCUGAUUUUCUUCAAAGCUCUCCACCCACUAAUAAGGUCUAACAGAUUCAGCCUUGAAAAUUUAACAACAGGUGCCUUUGCACGAGAAGGCUGCACUGCACAGGCACAAACAGCACCUGUGACUAUCUCUUCCUCAGGAAUGUUAAAGAAGGCCUCACUCUGCUCCCUGCAGCAACAGCUGCCUUGCUAAAUAAAGAAAGAAAUUAUAUUGCCUAAUAUUUACAGCUUGCCUAGGCCCUGGCCUCGACCCCAGAGCAGGAGUUUGUUUCUAUCCCAGUUAUUGAUUCAUUCUCAUAACACACCCACAGUUCCCAGUUUUGGGGUUUAACUUACAGUGUUUGCUGCAGGCUCGUGGGAGAAUCGACCCUUUCUCAAUCCCAACCAGCACAUCAAGAGACAAAGAGAUGCCAAUCAAUAGUUAGAGUCUCAGCUUAGUAGCUCUCAUUGCUAGCCAUCACUGCUUAUUUUCAUGCGCUUAAAAAAGAAACACCUAAAUGGUGAAUUACAUGAUCUGGAGUUUGUCAAUACGUGAUCUAAUAAACUGUAUUACACUUAACAAGCCAAAAUUUAUAAAAUGUAUUCUUUGAUUUAAUAAACAUGCUCUAAAUCACA